rnacentral:rRNA from 1 species
CCUACGGGGGGCAGCAGUGAGUAAUAUUGGUCAAUGGGCGCGAGCCUGAACCAGCCAAGUAGCGUGAAGGAUGACUGCCCUACGGGUUGUAAACUUCUUUUAUAAAGGAAUAAAGUGAGGCACGUGUGCCUGUCUGUAUGUACCAUACGAAUAAGGAUCGGCUAACUCCGUGCCAGCAGCCGCGGUAAUACGGAGGAUCCGAGCGUUAUCCGGAUUUAUUGGGUUUAAAGGGAGCGUAGGUGGUUUGUUAAGUCAGUUGUGAAAGUUUGCGGCUCAACCGUAGAAUUGCAGUUGAAACUGGCAGUCUUGAGUGCAGUAGAGGUAGGCGGAAUUCGUGGUGUAGCGGUGAAAUGCUUAGAUAUCACGAAGAACUCCGAUUGCGAAGGCAGCUCACUGGACUGCAACUGACACUGAGGCACGAAAGUGUGGGUAUCAAACAGGAUUAGAUACCCCAGUAGUC